ACGCUGGCGGCGUGCCUAAUACAUGCAAGUAGAACGCUGAAGAGAGGAGCUUGCUCUUCUUGGAUGAGUUGCGAACGGGUGAGUAACGCGUAGGUAACCUGCCUUGUAGCGGGGGAUAACUAUUGGAAACGAUAGCUAAUACCGCAUAACAAUAGGUGACACAUGUCAUUUAUUUGAAAGGGGCAAUUGCUCCACUACAAGAUGGACCUGCGUUGUAUUAGCUAGUAGGUGAGGUAACGGCUCACCUAGGCGACGAUACAUAGCCGACCUGAGAGGGUGAUCGGCCACACUGGGACUGAGACACGGCCCAGACUCCUACGGGAGGCAGCAGUAGGGAAUCUUCGGCAAUGGGGGCAACCCUGACCGAGCAACGCCGCGUGAGUGAAGAAGGUUUUCGGAUCGUAAAGCUCUGUUGUAAGUCAAGAACGAGUGUGAGAGUGGAAAGUUCACACUGUGACGGUAGCUUACCAGAAAGGGACGGCUAACUACGUGCCAGCAGCCGCGGUAAUACGUAGGUCCCGAGCGAUGUCCGGAUUUAUUGGGCGUAAAGCGAGCGCAGGCGGCUUGAUAAGUCUGAAGUUAAAGGCUGUGGCUCAACCAUAGUUCGCUUUGGAAACUGUCAAACUUGAGUGCAGAAGGGGAGAGUGGAAUUCCAUGUGUAGCGGUGAAAUGCGUAGAUAUAUGGAGGAACACCGGUGGCGAAAGCGGCUCUCUGGUCUGUAACUGACGCUGAGGCUCGAAAGCGUGGGGAGCGAACAGGAUUAGAUACCCUGGUAGUCCACGCCGUAAACGAUGAGUGCUAGGUGUUGGAUCCUUUCCGGGAUUCAGUGCCGCAGCUAACGCAUUAAGCACUCCGCCUGGGGAGUACGACCGCAAGGUUGAAACUCAAAGGAAUUGACGGGGGCCC
rnacentral:rRNA from 1 species